GCGGAGGUGUCGGAACUGGCAGACGAGCUAGACUAAGGAUCUAGUGGCCGCAAGGCCGUGAGGGUUCAAGUCCCUUCCUCCGCA
rnacentral:tRNA from 1 species